rnacentral:miRNA from 1 species
UAAAGUGCUGACAGGGCAGGUAG